rnacentral:misc_RNA from 1 species
CAACCCUCAAGCGCGGCUUGUGUGAUGGAGGCUCGUCCCGCCCCCCGGGCGCGGACGCCCCCCAAAGGCAGUGGCUGCGGCACGCCGCGAAAACCGACGCCUGAGCGAAUGGGACACCCACCGCUCCAGGGUACGGCCGGCUGCCCGCCUAACGUUGAUCCAAUUCUAACC